UUGAUUUUGCUCCCAUCUCCCUUUCCCUCUUUUCCUGUGUGUUUCCGCCGUUUUAGAACCAUCGCCACCAUGGCUUUUGAUGUGGAUGAUCAUCAAACAACAGCAACAAGAAGAUGGUAACAUGAUGAUAUCUCCUCUCAAACAUAAGAUCUAAGUUGGUCAUUCAAGACUUCAUGGAUUAUCUGGAUCUCCAAUUCACAUACCUCAAGUACUUCUUCGGCCUCUUCUUAACCAGAAAUGGAGCAAAUUCCACAGGUUGACAUGAGCGUCAAUUUUUUUUUUGGCGAUCAACGUUAUCCCAGGCAAAGCAACCUUUGUGACGCUGGAUCUUGAAGGACAAACUUACUGCACUAGAGAUGAGGUAGAUGUUAAUCCUCACUGGCACCAAACCUUCAUCUUCAACGUCAGUUCGUACCUUACACUUCAGGAUCUCAAACUUCAAGCUUCACCCCUUUUAUAGCGUCGAAAUAAUCCUUCAGGAGCUUCUUCGAACAUUCCCUUUUAUCUCCAUUCUGGCACUUCAAGACGUUAUGGUAUAGUCUCCAUGCCGUGGAGUUGUUGGAGAAAAUGAUGACUCUAGACCCAUAUCAGGUUGAUGGGAGUUUAAUCUUAUAUAACCAAAAGAGAAUAAUAGUGUGAGCCUAGUUUCACCAAAUACAAAAGGAAGGACCAAUAUGAGGAAAUCAAUGGAACAUGGGGAAAAGCCUGAGAGGAAAACUUGAAGAGUGGAAUGGAGGAUUUUUCCUGCUGCUU